UACGGGGGGGGCAAGCGUUGUUCGGAAUUACUGGGCGUAAAGGGCUCGUAGGCGGCCAACUAAGUCAGACGUGAAAUCCCUCGGCUUAACCGGGGAACUGCGUCUGAUACUGGAUGGCUAGAGGUUGGGAGAGGGAUGCGGAAUUCCAGGUGUAGCGGUGAAAUGCGUAGAUAUGCGGAGGAACACCGAUGGCGAAGGCAAUCCCCUGGACCUGUACUGACGCUCAUGCACGAAAGCGUGGGGAGCAAACAGG
rnacentral:rRNA from 1 species